ACAAAUAACAUCACACUGAGGGAGCUUGUACAGAAAGAAUUAAAUGAAGCAGAAACCAAGAAAAGCAAAUAUGAAAAAACAAUAAUAACCUACAGAGAAAGUGAAAGAGUGGGAAUCAGUCACUUGCAGGACUUGCGUGAAAACUGUGCUCUGGUAUCAGGCCUCAUCACUUGCUGCUGCUCCUUCCUGGAACAUGCUACCCCGAAAUUUUUGCCCUGUCAUCUCUGGAGAGAGGCCUUCCCUGACCACCUUGACUAAAGUAAUCCUUGUCCUUCCCACCAUGACACGGUACACCCUCAUUUCGCACUUGUCAUUGAGCUCUUAAGUCUAUGUACAUCUCAAUUUCUUGUUUUUGUUUCUUUGCUUUGUUUUUC
rnacentral:lncRNA from 10 species